GACGAACGCUGGCGGCGUGCUUAACACAUGCAAGUCGAACGGAAAGGCCCCAGCUUGCUGGGGUACUCGAGUGGCGAACGGGUGAGUAACACGUGGGUGAUCUGCCCUGCACUCUGGGAUAAGCCUGGGAAACUGGGUCUAAUACCGGAUAGGACCGUGCUUUAGUGUGUGCGGUGGAAAGUUUUUCGGUGCAGGAUGAGCCCGCGGCCUAUCAGCUUGUUGGUGGGGUAAUGGCCUACCAAGGCGGCGACGGGUAGCCGGCCUGAGAGGGUGUACGGCCACAGUGGGACUGAGACACGGCCCAGACUCCUACGGGAGGCAGCAGUGGGGAAUAUUGCACAAUGGGCGCAAGCCUGAUGCAGCGACGCCGCGUGGGGGAUGACGGCCUUCGGGUUGUAAACCCCUUUCGGCAGGGACGAAGCUUUUGUGACGGUACCUGCAUAAGAAGCACCGGCUAACUACGUG
rnacentral:rRNA from 1 species